UACAGAGGUCCCAAGCGUUGUUCGGAUUCACUGGGCGUAAAGGGCGCGUAGGCGGGCGAUCAAGUCAGGGGUGAAAGCCCCCAGCUCAACUGGGGAAGUGCCUCUGAUACUGGUCAUCUCGAGGGAGGUAGGGGCGUGCGGAACUUCCGGUGGAGCGGUGAAAUGCGUAGAUAUCGGAAGGAACGUCGGUGGCGAAAGCGGCGCGCUGGACCUCUUCUGACGCUGAGGCGCGAAAGCCAGGGGAGCAAACGGG
rnacentral:rRNA from 1 species